GAAAAACACGUUAGAUUGAAAUGUGUUGGCUUUGAAUGUCGAGCGUUGAACUUUUGCCUAUAAAUCAAGAUGGUGAAGAGGGCAGACGAGAAUUAGCUGCUCCUGCAAUUGUUGAAGUUUAAGGCGCAGGAUCAUGCAAAGAAGACUUGUCGUUUUAUAGCUGAACAUUAAGAAAUCUACAUCAAGAAGAUGAUUACUGAGCAGAGAAUU